GGGUUGUGAGGUUAAGCGACUAAGCGUACACGGUGGAUGCCCUGGCAGUCAGAGGCGAUGAAGGACGUGCUAAUCUGCGAUAAGCGUCGGUAAGGUGAUAUGAACCGUUAUAACCGGCGAUUUCCGAAUGGGGAAACCCAGUGU
rnacentral:rRNA from 2 species